rnacentral:rRNA from 1 species
ACCUACAGCCAUACCACCCUGAACAAACCCUAUCUUGUCUGAUCUCAGAAGCUAAGCAGGGUCAGGCCUGGUUAGUCAUUGGAUGGAAGACUGGCUGGGAAUACCAGGUGUUACAGACU